rnacentral:rRNA from 1 species
UACGUAGGGGGCUAGCGUUGUCCGGAAUCAUUGGGCGUAAAGAGCGUGUAGGCGGCCCGGUAAGUCCGCUGUGAAAGUCGGGGGCUCAACCCUCGAAUGCCGGUGGAUACUGCCGGGCUAGAGUCCGGAAGAGGCGAGUGGAAUUCCUGGUGUAGCGGUGGAAUGCGCAGAUAUCAGGAGGAACACCGAUAGCGAAGGCAGCUCGCUGGGACGGUACUGACGCUGAGGCGCGAAAGCGUGGGGAGCGAACGGG